rnacentral:pre_miRNA from 1 species
UGACUACAAAAUAACUUAUUUUGUAGCCACUUUGAGGUACGAUAAUUACUAUAUUAAUUUACAAGAUAACUCCAUACUAAGUGGUAUACUAUAACAUUAUGGUAAAUAUCCCCAUGUGUUAUAGUAACUAAACUAUCAUAAACAUAUACACAUAUUAUCGUAAAUUCGUAUAUAAAAUUAUCAUAAAUAGAUGUGGCUACAGAAUAACUUAUUUUAUAGCUA